rnacentral:tRNA from 1 species
GCCGGAGUGGCGAAAUGGCAGACGCGCCAGACUCAAAAUCUGGUUCCCGCAAGGGAGUGAGGGUUCAAGUCCCUCCUCCGGUA